AAGCGCCUGUGGUUAGACUCGUGCCCUGUGAAUCAGCCUGCUCUCCGCUAGCGCAUUUUACAGGGCUCGGGCCAGCGUCGGCUCGCUUCCGGGGUCCAAAGACGUCAGGAAUGUGGCUCCCUUCCGGGGGAGCGUUAUAGCCUGGCGUGUAAUACCCUGGUGUGGGCCGAGGUCUGCGCCUCCGCAAGGACGCUGGCGUAAUAACCACCGGCGG
rnacentral:rRNA from 1 species